GCCGAGGUGGCGGAAUGGCAGACGCGGCUGACUCAAAAUCAGCUGGGGGAUGACCCCGUGCGGGUUCAAGUCCCGCCCUCGGCACCA
rnacentral:tRNA from 16 species